rnacentral:rRNA from 1 species
UACGUAGGUGGCGAGCGUUUAUCCGGAAUUAUUGGGCGUAAAGAGCGCGCAGGUGGUUGAUUAAGUCUGAUGUGAAAGCCCACGGCUUAACCGUGGAGGGUCAUUGGAAACUGGUCGACUUGAGUGCAGAAGAGGGAAGUGGAAUUCCAUGUGUAGCGGUGAAAUGCGUAGAGAUAUGGAGGAACACCAGUGGCGAAGGCGGCUUCCUGGUCUGUAACUGACACUGAGGCGCGAAAGCGUGGGGAGCAAACAGG